CUAUUCACUAGCCCAUGGAUUAAGUCACCUUUGGGGGAGAUUUGUGUUCAGAGACAAUUGGGAUUCACUUGAAAGGAAGAAGACACUUCAAAUCACUCUUUCCAAAAUGACCUAAGGUUGCAGGUCACGCACCACUGAAAAGAGGGAAGUUCCUACAUAUGCAGAAGAUUCCUCCUUGUUUUGAGAAGGGCCACACAGAAAAAGUGCAGCAUUUUUCCUGCAAGAAACUGCAAGAAUAGUGUGCCUCUCUCUGACAACAGUGAUUAGAUAUGUCUUUUAUCCACUAGUUUUGAUUUUGACUUGUUUUGAUUGCUGACAGUCCUGCUAUGCAUCUUGCCUUUUCAACAAUCUGCACAGAUCCCAGCUUCAUUCAGAAGUCCGAAGGGCACAAGCCCAUACCUCUCUUGUACUGAGGAGCAUGAUUUUUAACCUGAAAUGUAAAUUUUUUUCCUUACAUUAAACAAAUCAAGAAACUAUUGAGGUUGAUCUUGUUGAAAAAGAAGCAACUUUUAGCCUAUGAAGAUAAAAGUAAAUGUCUUUCAAAACUCAAAGUGGAACAGUAGUUGGACAAUGUAGUUUCAUGUUGAUAAAAUAUUUAUAUUACUAAUGAUGCUUCUUGAUGCCAAAUUUUUCUCUUCCUGUGACUUGAAGCAAACAAAAGAACAAAGAUUGUUUCAGAUUGUUCAGUUACAGUUUUUCAUUCUUCAUAUGAAACCCAAUAAACUCAGUUAAC